UAUACCAGGAUGUCAGCAUAGUU
rnacentral:ncRNA from 3 species